rnacentral:rRNA from 1 species
CUACGUGCCAGCAGCCGCGGUAAUACGUAGGUGGCAAGCGUUGUCCGGAAUUAUUGGGCGUAAAGCGCGCGCAGGCGGAUUGGUCAGUCUGUCUUAAAAGUUCGGGGCUUAACCCCGUGAUGGGAUGGAAACUGCCAAUCUAGAGUAUCGGAGAGGAAAGUGGAAUUCCUAGUGUAGCGGUGAAAUGCGUAGAUAUUAGGAAGAACACCAGUGGCGAAGGCGACUUUCUGGACGAAAACUGACGCUGAGGCGCGAAAGCCAGGGGAGCGAACGGGAUUAGAUACCCCGGUAGUCCUGGCCGUAAACGAUGGGUACUAGGUGUAGGAGGUAUCGACCCCUUCUGUGCCGGAGUUAACGCAAUAAGUACCCCGCCUGGGGAGUACGACCGCAAGGUUGAAACUCAAAGGAAUUGACGGGGGCCCGCACAAGCGGUGGAGUAUGUGGUUUAAUUCGAAGCAACGCGAAGAACCUUACCAGGUCUUGACAUCCCUCUGACCGCUCUAGAGAUAGAGUUUUC